CCGAGUUUACAACUCCCAAACCCAAUGUGAACCAUUACCAAACUGUUGCCUCGGCGGGGUCACGCCCCGGGUGCGUAGAAGCCCCGGAACCAGGCGCCCGCCGGAGGGACCAACCAAACUCUUUCUGUAGUCCCCUCGCGGACGUAUUUCUUACAGCUCUGAGCAAAAACUCAAAAUGAAUCA
rnacentral:misc_RNA from 1 species